AGCUUUGCACAGUGGCAGUAUCACAGCCAAUGAGGUUUAUCCAAGGCAAAAUUACUGCUAAUUGAAAACUUUUCCCAAUACCCCACCAUGACGACUUGCAAUAUAGUUGGCAUUGGCAAUUUUUAACAGUCUCUAAGGAGA